rnacentral:lncRNA from 1 species
AGAAAAGUCACCAUCGCACGGUUAAGUCUGCCUUGCUACAGCUAAACAGUGACUUCCUAGGACCAAGAAAUCGCAGCCAGGGCUAGACCGAUGCCCUAAAUCGGGACUUGCUUAGGCUGAGAAAUCACAUUUUGGCUAGUUAUUUGGACAAGAGGUAGAAAUAGCGGGCACCGCGAAAUCGAAACUUGCUAGGACCAAGAAGCCAACGACGGGCGAAACCGCAGGGGCCUGCGAUAGAGACGCCAGCGGCGCCGCCGGGGGACUGGGUUCAGGAGGCCGAGCAGGAACCCGUGCGUCGGCGCUCGCGGCGCUGUGAAGAGACGGCGUCCGCGCAGCUCCUCUGCCUCUGGCUCGGAGGAGCGGCGGGCUCCCCCGCCCAGCGCCGGCGUCGCCCGGGAACCCCAGACUCUGCGCAACUGGCUGCGAUUCCAAAUCCCUCAGAUCGGCUACCAGAGCGCUGCCGCCACCGAGAAAAUGGAGGCACCGAGGAACAAGAUGUGCCGCGACCAAGAGAACUCGGCUUGGCGAAAUGGCGGUGCUGGGACCCUAAGAGUGACGCCAGCCGGAGGAGUUCCCAAGGACAACAUCCAUUUUGGCGGAACCAACGGUGUUGUCACGCAGAAAAUGUCGACCCUCGGAAAAGAGAGGUUCUGCGACCGAGAAAUUCGGUGCAACAAGUGCUGUGACAGAAAACCCCCCGCUCGGCGCUGCUGGCGAAAGAGCCAACAAAACGCUGGGUGCUGCCACCGUGACACCGACUUUAGGACCCCGGCCUCGGAUGGAGAAAGGAGGGUACGGAGCCACCACAUAACUUCCUAAUGUCUUCAAAUAGCGAAAGUGCUAGCCGGAAACUGCCGGCUGGGUUUACCUAUUGGUGCUCGUGUGGGACUAGCAGAUUCGAGAAACCAGCGGGACUGGAACCUAGUACACUUCGGCAGUUGAGAAAUGACUUACCAGGACAAAUACUGCUUCUGGCUCGAUGGUGCUGCCCAUGAACAUCCGCCGGCUCUGAGAAACGAGCUGCACUGUCAGUGAGAAACCGUGGGCACUGAGAAACGAGCGGACUGCAACUGAUAACUGCCCACCCAGUGCCACUACGACAAAGUGCUGCUGGCACUACUCCCACCCUCCGUCCUCAAAUCAGUCCCCUCCCGCCUAAGAAGACCUUUAUUUUUCCUAGCGAAGUCAUACUGAGGGCCCCAUCAACCGAUCCCUUGCGAUGCGCAUGGGAAAAGGAGGCAGUAUAGGGACCGAGAAUCGGGCGGAUUGGGCUGGCCCUGGUAACAAAAGCCAUCCGGGUCGCCAACCGUCUUCCACUGCAAGAAACAAACCUUCCAGUGGCUGGGCUCCGCCCUUCUCCUUGGUCAGAGCCCUCCAGGCUCCUAAGGGCGAAGCCGACACCUCAUCCCUUUGGAACUUGAAGUUCUCAGUCCAAGACCUCCGUGGAGAGUGAAAGACUCAAUGCCUCCUGACCGAGGCUUCAGGCCUGCCCCGGCAGCUAGGAAACCUGAAACUGCCAUUGAGCAGAAGGAAAACAUCCCUUUCCAGAACCUUUCUCGUUUUUCUAAAAAUCUGCACUUUUGGAAGUGAUCCCCCAAAGAGACCUCCAGACUCUACCAUGAGUGUCUCCAGCUGAACUCAUCGUGUCUAAUCCUCACCCUAGCUUAUCCUGUUCAAAUCAUUUCCAUCUUUUUCUGGAUGAACCUGGGCGGAUGUCAGACCAGAGAAGAGCACAGAAUGUACCAGAGAGAUGCGGUGAUGGGAGCCAUAUACACAAAGAUGAAGGACUGGCUACAGCUUUCACAGACCUUACAACCUACUGAGAGAGCAAAGACACAGUGAAGAGAUCAUUCAGAAUACAGUCCAACUCCAAGAUCAUUGGGAGAGCUUAUUUGAAGACCAGAAAGGUUACUGAACAUGGUGACUCUCUUCAAAGCCAGACCUUUGUCCUUGAAUUUAGGGCUUCAAAAAACAAUAGUAGGGCCGGGCGCAGUGGCUCAUGCCUGUAAUCCCAACACUUUGGGAGGCCAAGGUGGGCAGAUCACCUGAGGUCAGGAGUUCGAGACCGGCCUGGCCAAUAUGGUGAAACCCUGUCUCUACCAAAAAUACAAAAAAAAAAAAAAAUUACCUGGGCUUGGUGGGGGGUGCCUGUAAUCCCAGGUACUCAGGAGGCUGAGACAGGAGAAUUGCUUGAACCCGAGAGGCAGAGGCGGCAGUGAGCCGAGAACGCGCCAUUGCACUCUAGCCCGGGCGACAAGAGUGAAACUCCAUCUCAAAAACAAAAACAAAAAGAAAAACAAACAAACAAACAAACAAAAAAACAGUAGAAAACCUAAUGAGAAACCAUGGCACAGGAAAACAGAAUAGCAGAACGGUCAGAGGAAGCAUAGCACUAGAAGUUUACCUAUUUGAAAGAUUUAUGAGACACUUAAGACAGAAGAGCUCUGCCUGUCUGGUUAAAAUGGUGGGACAGACAAGAUUUAUUUGAGCUCAGCAGCACUUGAAGUCCACUGGAGAGGUGUAGAGCAGCUAGCCCAUGUUAUGGUUGCAAUGGAAAAAAGUCAAUAGGGUGAGAAUCAAGAAUGGAUCCAUCUUGUGGAUGAUGACAUCAUUCAGCAACAAGGUACAAUUGCUACAAUAGAGGAUCAUAUUUCCAAGCCAGGUCCAAAGAGGCAUCAGGGCUGUCAAGCUUAGGUAUAAAUGUUGACAGAAUCUUCCUUUGGAUUACCUAAGGCUCUGAAUUUCUGGGAAGAUCUUGAUGCCCUCUAACCCCAGCAAAUUGAUGCUAGCUAUACAUUGAAUCUGACAGUGGCAGCUCAAACAGAUUUUAAACACAUCUUGUAUGUAUCCAUUCAUACACAUUUACAUAUUAAAAACAUGUCUUCAAGUUUGAGCUUUCUUGGUGUAUCUCAGGUACCUUUUGACAUGGUUCUCUUUUUAUUGUAUGUACUAAUAGAGUGAGAACCUACUUAUUACUUGGGGGCUGCACCAAGCCAUUCAUGAUAGCUCGACCCCCAUGACCCAAACACCUCCCUUUAGGUCCCACUUCCAAUAUUAUCAAAAUCUUUUUUAUUUUAUUUAUUUAUUUAUUUAUUUAUUUAUUUUUUGAGAUGGAGUCUUACUCUGUUGCCCAGGCUGGAGUGCAGUGGCGCGAUCUUGGCUCACUGCAAGCUCCACCUCCUGGGUUCAUGCCAUUCUCCCGCCUCAGCCUCCCAAGUAGCUGGGACUACAGGUGCCCGCCACCACGCCUGGGUAAUUUUGUGUGUGUGUGUGUGUGUGUGUGUGUAUUUUUA